rnacentral:lncRNA from 1 species
UUUUUUUUUUUUUGGUCUUUUUAGGGCUGUACACCUGGUAUAUGGAAAUUCCCAGCUGUAACUCUGAUUGGACCCCUAGCCUGGGAACCUCUAUAUGCUGUGGGUGCAACCCUAAAAAGCAAAAAAAAAAAAAAAAAAGGAAAGAGUACUUAUAGUAGGUUAGUAAUAAUGCCACAUGUGGAUGUACUUGAUGUAUUUCUUUUUCCCUAUGUCCAUCCUAUCAGUUAUAGGGAGCAAAAGGUUAACAUUCUCUUUAUGUGAAGACAAUUUGGUUUUACUAUGAUGAACCUAGAAUGCCAUUGGCAAUGAAUUAUACUAUCUACAUAAUGCCUAAUUUAAAAAAAUUAUUUAAGUGACAUACAGUCAAUAAACCUGUAAAGUGGACUGAUUUAUUCAGUUACAUAGAAAUCUACUUCGAAACUUUUUUUUUUCUUGGACUUUUUGCUAAAAAUUAUAUUGCUAACAGAAUUAAUAAGUAAAUAUUUAGCCUGGUAAGUACUUCAACGUGCCUUAUAGAAAAAGGAAAAAUACUUUUACUUUAUCGAGACCCCUUUAACUAGCUAUCUGACUGAAGAAAAAAAUAGCAUAUUUAUUUGAAAGGAGACAGUGUCAUGGGUAGUCUUUAGACCCCCAUGCAGCCAUAGCAGAAUGGGCUUUGGGCCUGAACACUUCUUUACCUAAAGCGCCCACACAGCCUAUACAGGCUUUAUCACCUUGAGCGGGAAUAUCUUUCUCUGUUUCAGACUGAGUAUUCCUUUGUCCUGCUUAUGUAUGUGUGUCUAUAUCCUAAGGGCUUCAGUACUUCAGACUCCAUGGAGAAGGAGGAGGGGUCCUUCUAUUGCAUCAAGAAAGGGCUGAGCUAAGCCAGUUGCCCAGCUUCCACUACCAAGAGGACCUGGGAGCCACGUGGGAACUGACACACUCUAUUGGUGCUGAUCUUGGUCUGUCUCUUCUCUUCCUGGUGCAAAGCAUUACUCCACCCAGUGCUUGACUGGGUUGUGUCUUCCUUGGCAAUUUGCAUUCGAAAAUGCAAUGGGCAGAAGUGUUUGGACCUCUCUUCCUGGUGGCUGGCAUUGUGAUGCUCUUAGUUUUCCUUUGUGGAGUUGGAGUCCUCCUCUGGCAUUGGUAACCGUGCAUGGUGUUCUAAUCAACAAUAUUGCUUUAAUAAUACCACUCAAAAUUAAUGUUUCUUGGAACAUCAUUUAGAAAUUAUUUCUCUAGAUAAUUGAAAUUUCAGAUAUUAGAGAGGUCUUGUGGUUUUGACAUUUACUCAACUGGUAAGGUAUUGUGAAUUUAACCUACAAUUUAAAAAUUAUGAAAAAAAUGAUGUGAUGGUCUGUUUUCACUCUAUUUACUCUGUGGAUAUUAAGGACAUUGUUCAUCAUGGUCCUCUUUAGAAGUUAACAGGUAUAUUUAUGCAAUUUGACAAACUCACUCAUAUCUCUCUUAUGUACAAAUAUCUGCUAAUUUUAUAACUAGAUUUUUAUUUUCCUAUGUGUUGGUUAUUCACUAUGUUUUGCUUUUCUUUUCACUUUUACUUCAAGUAUACUUUAAAUGUUUUGCUGCAUGUAUAUUAUCUAUUGCUGCAAUAACAAAUGACCAUAAAUUUAGUGGCUUGAAUAACAGAGACUUGUUAUGUCACACUCAAUUAGUCAGAAGUCUGUGUUGACACAGUUCUUUGUUCCACGAUUCAAGGUGUCAGUCUACUGGGUUCUUAUUAGAGGGUGCUAGCAAAAAUUUACUCCCAGUUCAUUUAUGUUAUUGGUGAAACCUGGAGUCUAGUAGUUGUAGGACUGUCAUUCCCACUCCCUUGCUGGCCAUUAGCUAGGUGCUGCAAUUAUUGCAAAGACUUCCCUCCCAUCCCUACAGGAGGACCCCUGCAUCUCAGAGCUGGCAGUGACAUUAAAUCUGUCUCAGUCUUGGAAUCUCUGAUUUCCUCUUCUGCUACAUCUUUUUCUCCUCUGUUGCCUUUAGCCAGAGAAAUUGCACUGCUUUUAAAGGGCUGAGGUGAUUAGAUUGGGCCUAACUGGAUCCUUCAGGAUGAUCUUCCUAUCUUAAGGUUUAUUACCUUAAUUAUAUCUGCAGGGUCCCUUGUGCCAUGUAAGGCAAUGUACUCACAGUUGCAGGGCUUAGGGCAUGGUCAUCUUUAUGGGUCAUUAUGCAACCUACUGCAUUGUACUUUAUAAAUAUUUGUGUUUUCUGUUUUGAUAUGUCAUAAACAACAUUUUAAGAAUAAACCAAGAAAAAAUAAUUAGAUAUGUUCCAAUGAACUGGAAAUAAAUGUCCUCAGAUUAAUCUAAAUAUGAGGAGAAUUUCAUUAAGUUUUGAAGGGUAAAAUUUGAUUUAUAGUAAAAUGUAGGUGUUUUAAUUUUUUUAAUUUUAGACUUAGAUAUAUAAAUCAACAUUCACAAACUUUAAACAUGCAUGUUUAUCACAAGGUAUUUUUUUUUUUGCCUAUUUUCCUAAGUUACUGAACAAAAUGAAUGUGUCUGUGAAUAUCACUAUAUUACUAUGAUAUUAUUGUUUUUCUUUAUUUCUCUUCUUUGUAUUUUAGUUCAUGAAGCAGUUGUAUUACUGCACUAAAUUUCUGUUUACCAGACACUUAAAUCCUUUCACUACCCAAAAAUAUAGGUUCAUCUGCUAGAAAAAAUUUCCCAUUCUUUUCAGGAAGCAUAGCUAUGAAAAUGUGGGUUUUUUUUGAAACUUUUACCAACAAAAGUAAAUAAAUGUGGACCUAUCUGCUUACCAGUUUUAGGAUAUUUGAAUAUUAUGUGAACUUACUGUUUCGUUUCCUCAUUUGUAAAUGUGUUUAAUGGUAGUUACCACAUAGGACUGUGGGUAGUAAUUGUAAAUUGUUUAGCAAUAUGUCUGGAAUACAGUUAAUAGAAAGUCGAUGAGGGAGGAUUUAUUUUUAUUAAAACAAUUAUUACAGGGGAUCAGUGAGAAACAUGCCUCUACUGCCAUGAAAGAAGGUAAAUCACAAAGGGGCUUUCUCUUUGCAUCUAAAAUUUGUUUUUCUUUUUAGCUUCCUAAGACAUUGAUCGUAGUUUUGUUACAUCGUUAAGUGUUCAUAUAAGCCUUCUCACACACAGGCCUUCACUGUAUUCUUUCUGCAUUUCUGACCCUCUUUCUCAAAAUUCUUUGCUUCUGAUGAAGUUCAUUUUUUAGAAUUUGCUUUAGUGCCUGUUUGCUGGCAGUGUACAUGCCAAGUUUUUUUUUUUUUCUAAAAAUAGUUUUAUUUCACAGCUUCAUUCUUAAGCAGCCCCACCCCCACCCCUGAGUAUAGAAUUCUAGGUUGGCAGCUAUUUUCUUUCAGUAUGAUAAAGAUAUACCUGAUUGUUUUAGGACUUCUGUGACUAUUCUUGAGAGAUCAGCUCUCAUCCCAGGGCCAAUUACUUAAGGGUAACUUGCCUUUUAUUCUUCCCCUGGCAUGGAAACUUUAAACAUUUCCUUUUUGUAUUUAGUGUUUUAUAGUUUUAAUAUGAUGAAUCUAGGCUUGGCUUUCUUUUUGUUUAUCAUGUUUAGUAUUCAUCUGGCUUUGAGAAGCUCUGAAAUAGUGUUUUAUAUUAGUCCUGGAAACUCUCCAGCCUUUCUCUUCUCAGUUACUGCCUCUCCCCAACUCUCUUCCUUCCCUGAUUAAAUUUAAGUUAGACUUUCUCAUCCUAUCUUCCACAGAUUUUAAAUUCUAUUUCCCUCUUGAAAAAAAAAA